UCUCAUAUGGACAGUGGAUCUCUUGGGACAACUGGUUGAAAGUCUCUCUCUGUCUCUACUGUUACUCCUGGCUGUGUGUGAGUGGCUGAGUGUGGGCUGGUGCUCUGUUGUGUCUCCAGAGUGAUUUAUCAGGUUUGCGGGGAGGAGAGAGAGAGAGAGAGAGAGAGAGAGAGAGAGAGAGAGAGAGAGAGAGAGAGAGAGAGAGAGAGAGAGAGAGAGAGAGAGAGAGAGAGAACUUCAGUAGCAGUAACCAGCCUGCUUGCUGGGUGUGUUAACUCCACAUCUGACCUCUAUGGGAACAGAGCAGCCUCCACUCCUCUCCUCCCCUCCCUGUAGGCUGUGGGAACAAGGGGGGACAGAUGCCUCUGGGCCAUGGAGCUCUGGGACACGGCCCUGGAGAGAGCGGGACAUCACGGGACAGGACAGCUUCAGCAAAAGACCCAGGCUUUGAGGAUUGCACAUCGGACUGAUUCUUGGAUCUGAAACGGCACAGUUGGCAGAGUCAGGCUGCAGUUGUUUAGUCAGUCAUUAGUCAGUCAGAUGGUUAGUUAGUCAGCCAGUAAAUCGGUCAGUGGGGUUCCUCCCAACAGGGUCAACUCCUCCACUUUGUGCAUAUCCUCAUCUGAACUCUGAGGUGACUCAGACGUACCGAGUAGGACCUGUGGGCAUGGUCACAGGUGCUCCACAGCUGCUGCGGAUGGAGGCAUCUGGAGCCCAGGAGGAUGUUGGAGGAGAUACAGAGGGCAGAAGAAGGGUGGAGAGGUGCAGAUUUGAUCCCCGCUGUGGUGGGGAGGGUUCCUGGCACCGUGAUUUGAUGCACAAAGAGAAACAAAAAUCACAUUGCCAGGGAUUUCCACUCUUUCACAGCUCAGCAGACUCUCUCCCUCUUUGUCUUCUGCCUCUUUGUGCUGUCAAAGGCCAGACUAAGACUGGAGUUCAUUGUCAGGUAAUCUCAAUGAAAUGUCUGCAAUGCCUGUAUAAUUGAUGUCACCCAGAAGUCCCUGUUAUCAGCAACUGGGAAUGUGUGCAAUGCUGCUUCCUCCCCUCUUUCCAUUUAACUUGCAGCUACCAAAGGAAAAGUUUCAUCUUGAAGAUUUCAUACCCACGGGAAAAUGAUUGCUCAUUAGCCAGCGUGAUGAAUCUGCUCUAUGCAAGAAUUCCACUGAUCAUGCUUGGCAGCAUAAAAUUAUAUUUCUGUUACUUUGAAUUUCUGAGGAAAAUGUUCCUGUUCAAUCCUCAGGGACAUCCCCCCACAAAAAGGUAGAAUGCUAUUUUUCACUGUGGCCAUGUGGUUCUGACUUCAGGGCAUUGUUUCAGCCAAGUGGUACCACUGACUAUUACGCUAUGAUUUGUGUAAGCAUUUAAUCUAACUGAAUGUGGAAGACAACCGUGCAUGAAGUGCAUUAUUCUAAAUGUCAGUACGUUUCUAAGUACUUAAAAAUAAUACAAGCAUGAUUUAUUAUGAUGUUACAGCCAAAUGUUUUAUUCAUUCAUUACAAACCCAGACACUAUUUCAUUCAAUAAAAAAAUCCUGAGCAGUUAUUCUAACAUCGGUUCUUUUUUUCAUUGAGUAUUGUAAGAUAUCAUCAUUCAUGCUGAGGAGGGAAACUUGUCACAGCAAAGAAAGAACUAAGGUUGAGCGACAGAAAAAAAAAAUCACAAAAAUUAAGGAUUGAUGAAGGUUGUCGAUGUGGGGCUGUGAAAAAAUGUUGUUUGUGUUUACCAGUCAAAAACACUGGGGUUCCAUGAUAGGUGUCCUUGAAGUCUUGAAAUGUUCAGGUUUUGCUGAUUUAAGUCUGCUAAUCAGUGUUAAAGUACUCCAGUCAAGGACUCAGACUCAAGUCCAACUCACUCAUGACUUGUAUUUUGUUUCGGACUUCAGCAUGAACUGCAUUCAUACUCAGCAGAUGGAGAGGAAUACUCGGACUUCUUUAUUAAUAAAAAUACCUUUAUUGUUUGUGUUAGUUUUUUAGUACAAGUCCCAAUUUAUUUCGCCUGUCACAGGGUCACAUGCAUGUUCGUUCUUAUAAAGCAACAGUUUAUGCCAGGAUGCUUGAAGAGGUGCCACAACUCCUGCUUUCAAAGAUUUCAAAUAUAAGCAACAGCAAUAAAACAUGUUUGAUAUGUAAAAGAAACUUUGGGGAGAAAUUGGGUACAUCUUUAAACUUUAACUUCUGUACAAUAAAGAAAAGUGAGAAACUGAA